AGGCCUGUGAUGAGAUCUCGAGAACUGUCAUGCGCCACUCUGAUAUUAGUGAUGUGAAAAUUUUCAUACCCAUAUACCUUUCUGAGCUU